rnacentral:rRNA from 1 species
UACGGAGGGUGCGAGCGUUGUCCGGAAUCACUGGGCGUAAAGGGCGCGUAGGCGGCUUCUUAAGCGUGUGGUGAAAGCUCGGGGCUCAACCUCGAGUCGGCCAUGCGAACUGGGAGGCUUGAGCACUGUAGAGGCAGGUGGAAUUCCGGGUGUAGCGGUGGAAUGCGUAGAGAUCCGGAAGAACACCGGUGGCGAAGGCGGCCCACUGGAUCGGUACUGACGCUGAGGAGCGAAAGCGUGGGGAGCGAACAGG